GACCCCGGGAAACUGACCAAGAGAUGCCUUGUUGGUGCUGUUGUUCUUGUAUCAGUCAGGGGCAGAGCAGAUGACAGUCCUUUGUUCAUCCUAGCUUGAUGCCCGGCUUGGUGGCCAAAGCUGUCUUAUGUCUAUGACACAAAA